rnacentral:rRNA from 1 species
UACAGAGGUCUCAAGCGUUGUUCGGAUUCAUUGGGCGUAAAGGGUGCGUAGGUGGCGCGGUAAGUCGGGUGUGAAAUUUCGGAGCUUAACUCCGAAACUGCAUUCGAUACUGCCGUGCUUGAGGACUGGAGAGGAGACUGGAAUUUACGGUGUAGCGGUGAAAUGCGUAGAUAUCGUAAGGAAGACCAGUGGCGAAGGCGGGUCUCUGGACAGUUCCUGACGCUGAGGCACGAAGGUCAGGGGAGCAAACGGG